CCAUUUCAAAAUUCUCUUCCGGAAAAGUCUGUCCCAAAAAGAAAUAUCCGCCUUGGCAUUAUCCGUCUUCUUUUUCUUUCUUCGAAUUAACAUAAUUACACAAAUACUGGAAGCAUAUAGACAUGUUUUCGACACCGAACUUUGAUUGUGAAAUCCAUUGUCGGAUAGGUCUAGUUUUUGGGAUCACAAAAGUCUAUAAUGGAAAAAAGGAACUUUGAUGUCCGCCAUUUGUUAUUUUCUAUUCACACGAGUGUAAUAACUUCCGUGCUCCAGGGGAUACAGACGCCAGAUUUAGUGCUGGAUAAAUAGCACCUUUAUCAUCUGCAGCUCUGAUAAUUGGAUAAUAUGACUUCAAAACACGAAUAAAAUCUAUGGAAGUCAUCUCUUUCUGCCCAUCUCUGCACCACCGGACACAAGUGUUUGUCAUUAGAAUGGCUGCAAUUCGCAGUUUAGGUCAGACCUGGUGUGCAUCCUAAAAUGCCGAGGGCAAUUAACUAUAUAUCCUUGUGAAAACAAUUGUCUAAUAUCAGGAACUGUUGCAGUAAGUGAAAUUGUGUUUCAAAUAACAUCAAUUGGAUCAAAAGUUAGUGAACGGCAAAUGAUUUGAUAAGAAGAAUAUGGCCAAGUUAUCUCAAGGGGAAAACCGACUAUGAUUGUAGCAGUAAUUCAAUUUGUGAACGAACUUUGUCGCUCUAUUGACACAUUGUUUAAAUCUGUGUAUUUACUGAGUGAACACGUUUGUUAAAACUGUUAGCAUUUUUAAGCUUCCAGGUCAAUUAGAUAAUUAGAAGGGUUUUUUUUUUCAAAAAUGUCACAAAAAGUGUCAACGAUUGACACGGAUAAAUUUUUAUUCGUUUUAAGUGAUAAUUCUCACUUCUUCAUGAACCGAAUCUGACAGUUGUGAAAUAUCAGGUCAUGAAAGUAUUGGUUCAACGUAACCAAUGUUUCAGUCGCAUGACCAUGAAAACUAGACAUAAAAUACUAUAUGUAAUAUAAUUUUAAUUGCAUGCACUACUGGAUACAACUAGUUGACGGCAAGUUUUGUCAAAGUUGUGAUCAUGACAUGAGGUAAAGUUAACUUUCAAAAAGAAAUGCUUU
rnacentral:sRNA from 1 species